ACAUGAACGAGGAGAACCAUGGUAAUCUUAAAACCUAUUUCCACAUGAGUAGAGAGGUUUCAAAAUGCAACAUUAGAAUUUAGAAAGAUCUCAUCUCCUGAACAAGUUUUAUCCUCACUCAUAGACCAGAACAUCACACUAGCCAGUGGAAGAUCCAGAAUUUAGGCGUUGUUAAUUCUGAAUUAUUUCUGAGCUAACUCAUUGGAUCUUCUGAAUCAUUUCUGAGCAACUCAUUGGAUCCACUACUGACGUUAAGUUUGGUUGGGAAGAAAUUCUAAUUCGUCCAAUUUAAGUGUUUUGGUAGCAAAUGAAUUGUUUACACUACUGUAUUAUGGCAAACAUGCUCUUAAGUAUAUAUGCACAUAAAGAAAAGAUGAGAAAACAGUACAUUAGGAGCUGCAGUCUUCAGAUCAAGGAAUUCAACGUCAAUGAUGAACUUCCCAGUUAAGGGGAUUUCAAUUGGCCAAACAAAAUCGUCGCUACUCUUGAUUUGCUUGUCUAUAACUUCUGCAGAUUCCAAACAAUCGACACAAAACAAAAAUGAUAUGUUUAAUCACCAAUUCACAAAUUUAGAUCAAAAUAUAAACAAAAAAGAUUGAUGAGUGUAAGACAAUUUUACCUGGGUGAAUCAAGGUCUUGCGAUCUCCAGCGGACGAGAUUAAUCUAAUUAUAAAAGAUGCAAUUGGAGGAUUGUCUCUUGUAAAAUUUGAUAUCUCUGGGUAUAUUUUAAUGAACAAUGUCCUGUUCUUCUCCACAGCUAAGUGCCUUAAAUCAAAUAAAAAGACUUAAUUAACAUACGUACACUCCUUGCUUACUUACUAAUGUCACUACCAUACAUUACUAUCAUAAUAAAUAUUCACCUGAACUGUCUCCCUUUUUCAAGAAAUUUGCCAAAAAAAGAAAUACCCAUAUAAAAAAAUGAAGAAAGAAUACACUGGCAACUUGCCACAAUCUUAGGCCACGAGGCAGGAAAAAAAAGCUACUGUAUAAAUUUAUUAAUAUAGCCUUUACCCCACUGUGUCAUCUGUUUUUGAGGUAAUAAAACAGAGGCCUAAGGUGAUUCAAUGAGCUCAUCAGAUGAGAAACAAACAAUUGAAUUGAUUGAUAAACUUAAACAAACAAUUUAUAGAUAUUUGCAAAACUGUGUAACACCAAAUUCAGAGACGGAUGAAGCAACUGAACAUAGUAUUUUUGACAAUUGAAUUGUUAUUUUGACACGGAGAAUAUAUGUGUGAGAGAAAGUACUAGUAAUAGCUAAAAUUGAUGGCAAUUUGUUGGCUGUAAUUUGCUCUGUUUGAUCAGAAUAAGAAUAUAUAAAAGACUGACUGACCAAUUCCAUUUGCCGAUCUUAAAAGGAUCGGACUUGCGGUAAGUGCAAGAAGCCAAAUUGUCGAUCCGCCAUUGAGCGAGGCGCGGAGUGGUAUCAACACGAUAAGCAGAAUCACUCAUCCUAGUAAAUACAAGCGCCGCCGUGAUUUCAUGGAUGCAAUCGAAUAAACCUUCCAACAAUAACUCUCCGUGCUUUCCCAGGUUUGCUUUUCUCUCUAUUCCUCAUACACUUAAACCCCAAAGCAAUAUCGAAUCCACUCGCCAAGCUUAUUAGUACUACUUCAUCAACUGUAAAUAGCUAUCUUAAGGGUCUUAUUUUUUCAGGGGAUGGGCCCGAUUGGUUUUCUAUAGGUUUCGGACACGCAAGGGUAUUUCUUGUUAAUGCUUUACGCCAUUGAUAGUGAAGUUUUGCAGAAUGGAUUUUGUUUUAGUUUGAGAAAAACUUGAGGAAAAGAAAGCUUUUUUUUUUUGAUGGGGACUGAGAGUUAUUCGCUAAAAAUUUGUUUGGCUUACACUACACUUCAGGGAUGAUGGUUACUCUGUUUAUAUACUACUGCUAGCGUACAGACUUUAGGAUUUUGU
rnacentral:lncRNA from 1 species